CCUACGGGAGGCAGCAGUGGGGAAUAUUGCACAAUGGGGGAAACCCUGAUGCAGCGACGCCGCGUGAGUGAAGAAGUAUUUCGGUAUGUAAAGCUCUAUCAGCAGGGAAGAAAAUGACGGUACCUGACUAAGAAGCCCCGGCUAACUACGUGCCAGCAGCCGCGGUAAUACGUAGGGGGCAAGCGUUAUCCGGAUUUACUGGGUGUAAAGGGAGCGUAGACGGUGAUGCAAGUCAGAAGUGAAAGCCCGGGGCUCAACUCCGGGACUGCUUUUGAAACUGUGUGACUGGGGUGCAGGAGAGGUAAGCGGAAUUCCGUGUGUAGCGGUGAAAUGCGUAGAUAUACGGAGGAACACCAGUGGCGAAGGCGGAUUGCUGGACAGUAACUGACGCUGAGGCGCGAAAGCGUGGGGAGCAAACAGGAUUAGAUACCCCAGUAGUC
rnacentral:rRNA from 1 species